rnacentral:lncRNA from 1 species
GUUAGCGGGAGAGGCAGAGACGUUCAGAGGUCUUUUAGGAUGCGCUAAAGGGUCGUGAGGGCUCUCUUAAGAUUUUCUUCACAAGAGGUUAUCCAGUCGUGCCCCGCGGCCCAGCCGCUGGCCCCGGGGAUCUGAGUCGUACCCUCUUGUUUUUCUCUGAGUCAGUCUUAAGGUGAAAUGAAGUGUGGCCCAGUGGCUCCUCACUGUCGCUUCUCUAGUUUUCUGCCUCGUUUUAGAAAAUGUGCUAAAGACCAUACAGACAAGAGCAGACAGGCCACCUUUGCAACCACAUGGAGGUUUGUCUGAUAUUGAAGCUAAAGAAGCUAAGCUGGAAGACAGAGAGACCAAGUCCUGAUGACAUUGUUUGAACCCAGAGAUCCAUACAUGCCUGAAAACUAGUUUUACCACUGGACUUAUCCGUUGAAUGAGCCAAUAAACUGUCUUUUAUAC